GUUGGGAAUAGUGUCCCAAAGCCAAUCGUCAGCCUGUUGACGGUUGUGCUCCUUUUGUAUUAGUACAUGAAUUAUAAAUAAAUAAAAGUUAUUUUGAUAUUUUUUCAUCACAAAUGUUUCAUCUUCUAAUGAACUCCUAUGUUGUGGUGAAGUCCUUAGGACUAUUUAGACUCGACAAAGGAGGAUUUGUCGCUUAGUCCUUAAACAUGUUCGCGACCA
rnacentral:lncRNA from 1 species